GAUGAACGCUGGCGGCGUGCCUAAUACAUGCAAGUCGAGCGAACGGACGAGAAGCUUGCUUCUCUGAUGUUAGCGGCGGACGGGUGAGUAACACGUGGAUAACCUACCUAUAAGACUGGGAUAACUUCGGGAAACCGGAGCUAAUACCGGAUAAUAUUUUGAACCGCAUGGUUCAAAAGUGAAAGACGGUCUUGCUGUCACUUAUAGAUGGAUCCGCGCUGCAUUAGCUAGUUGGUAAGGUAACGGCUUACCAAGGCAACGAUGCAUAGCCGACCUGAGAGGGUGAUCGGCCACACUGGAACUGAGACACGGUCCAGACUCCUACGGGAGGCAGCAGUAGGGAAUCUUCCGCAAUGGGCGAAAGCCUGACGGAGCAACGCCGCGUGAGUGAUGAAGGUCUUCGGAUCGUAAAACUCUGUUAUUAGGGAAGAACAUAUGUGUAAGUAACUGUGCACAUCUUGACGGUACCUAAUCAGAAAGCCACGGCUAACUACGUGCCAGCAGCCGCGGUAAUACGUAGGUGGCAAGCGUUAUCCGGAAUUAUUGGGCGUAAAGCGCGCGUAGGCGGUUUUUUAAGUCUGAUGUGAAAGCCCACGGCUCAACCGUGGAGGGUCAUUGGAAACUGGAAAACUUGAGUGCAGAAGAGGAAAGUGGAAUUCCAUGUGUAGCGGUGAAAUGCGCAGAGAUAUGGAGGAACACCAGUGGCGAAGGCGACUUUCUGGUCUGUAACUGACGCUGAUGUGCGAAAGCGUGGGGAUCAAACAGGAUUAGAUACCCUGGUAGUCCACGCCGUAAACGAUGAGUGCUAAGUGUUAGGGGGUUUCCGCCCCUUAGUGCUGCAGCUAACGCAUUAAGCACUCCGCCUGGGGAGUACGACCGCAAGGUUGAAACUCAAAGGAAUUGACGGGGACCCGCACAAGCGGUGGAGCAUGUGAUUUAAUUCGAAGCAACGCGAAGAACCUUACCAAAUCUUGACAUCCUUUGACAACUCUAGAGAUAGAGCUUUCCCCUUCGGGGGACAAAGUGACAGGUGGUGCAUGGUUGUCGUCAGCUCGUGUCGUGAGAUGUUGGGUUAAGUCCCGCAACGAGCGCAACCCUUAAGCUUAGUUGCCAUCAUUAAGUUGGGCACUCUAAGUUGACUGCCGGUGACAAACCGGAGGAAGGUGGGGAUGACGUCAAAUCAUCAUGCCCCUUAUGAUUUGGGCUACACACGUGCUACAAUGGACAAUACAAAGGGCAGCGAAACCGCGAGGUCAAGCAAAUCCCAUAAAGUUGUUCUCAGUUCGGAUUGUAGUCUGCAACUCGACUACAUGAAGCUGGAAUCGCUAGUAAUCGUAGAUCAGCAUGCUACGGUGAAUACGUUCCCGGGUCU
rnacentral:rRNA from 1 species